GACGAACGCUGGCGGCGUGCCUAAUACAUGCAAGUAGAACGCUGAAGCUUGGUGCUUGCACCGAGCGGAUGAGUUGCGAACGGGUGAGUAACGCGUAGGUAACCUGCCUGGUAGCGGGGGAUAACUAUUGGAAACGAUAGCUAAUACCGCAUAAUAGUAGAUGUUGCAUGACAUUUGCUUAAAAGGUGCAAUUGCAUCACUACCAGAUGGACCUGCGUUGUAUUAGCUAGUUGGUGAGGUAACGGCUCACCAAGGCAACGAUACAUAGCCGACCUGAGAGGGUGAUCGGCCACACUGGGACUGAGACACGGCCCAGACUCCUACGGGAGGCAGCAGUAGGGAAUCUUUGGCAAUGGACGGAAGUCUGACCGAGCAACGCCGCGUGAGUGAAGAAGGUUUUCGGAUCGUAAAGCUCUGUUGUAAGAGAAGAACGAGUGUGAGAGUGGAAAGUUCACACUGUGACGGUAUCUUACCAGAAAGGGACGGCUAACUACGUG
rnacentral:rRNA from 1 species